rnacentral:rRNA from 1 species
CAGUAACGGCGAGUGAAGCGGCAACAGCUCAAAUUUGAAAUCUGGCCCCCAGGGCCCGAGUUGUAAUUUGCAGAGGAUGCUUUUGGCGCGGUGCCUUCCGAGUUCCCUGGAACGGGACGCCAUAGAGGGUGAGAGCCCCGUCUGGUCGGACACCAAGCCAGUGUAAAGCUCCUUCGACGAGUCGAGUAGUUUGGGAAUGCUGCUCUAAAUGGGAGGUAUAUGUCUUCUAAAGCUAAAUACCGGCCAGAGACCGAUAGCGCACAAGUAGAGUGAUCGAAAGAUGAAAAGCACUUUGAAAAGAGGGUUAAACAGUACGUGAAAUUGUUGAAAGGGAAGCGUUUAUGACCAGACUUGGGCCCGGUGAAUCAUCCAGCGUUCUCGCUGGUGCACUUCGCCGGGCUCAGGCCAGCAUCAGUUCGCCGCGGGGGACAAAAGCUUCGGGAACGUGGCUCCCUCGGGAGUGUUAUAGCCCGUUGCAUAAUACCCUGUGGCGGACUGAGGUUCGCGCUCCGCAAGGAUGCUGGCGUAAUGGUCAUCAGCGACCCGUCUUGAAACACGGACCAAGGAGUCGUCUUCGUAUGCGAGUGUUCGGGUGUCAAACCCCUACGCGUAAUGAAAGUGAACGCAGGUGAGAGCUUCGGCGCAUCAUCGACCGAUCCUGAUGUUCUCGGAUGGAUUUGAGUAAGAGCAUACGGGGCCGGACCCGAAAGAAGGUGAACUAUGCCUGUAUAGGGUGAAGCCAGAGGAAACUCUGGUGGAGGCUCGCAGCGGUUCUGACGUGCAAAUCGAUCGUCAAAUAUGGGCAUG